AGAGGUCUACCAUGCAGUCGAGCGGAAGGCCACUUCGGUGGUACUCGAGCGGCGAACGGGUGAGUAACACGUGAGUAAUCUGCCCCUGGCUUCGGGAUAGCCACCGGAAACGGUGAUUAAUACCGGAUAUGACAGACCCUCGCAUGGGGGUGUGUGGAAAGUUUUUCGGCCAGGGAUGUGCUCGCGGCCUAUCAGCUUGAUGGUGAGGUAAUGGCUCACCAUGGCUUCGACGGGUAGCCGGCCUGAGAGGGUGACCGGCCACACUGGGACUGAGACACGGCCCAGACUCCUACGGGAGGCAGCAGUGGGGAAUAUUGGACAAUGGGCGGAAGCCUGAUCCAGCAACGCCGCGUGAGGGAUGACGGCCUUCGGGUUGUAAACCUCUUUCAGUACCGACGAAGCGCAAGUGACGGUAGGUACAGAAGAAGCACCGGCCAACUACGUGCCAGCAGCCGCGGUAAUACGUAGGGUGCGAGCGUUGUCCGGAAUUAUUGGGCGUAAAGGGCUCGUAGGCGGUUUGUCGCGUCGGGAGUGAAAACGCCGUGCUUAACACGGCGCUUGCUUCCGAUACGGGCAGACUAGAGGUAUUCAGGGGAGAACGGAAUUCCUGGUGUAGCGGUGAAAUGCGCAGAUAUCAGGAGGAACACCGGUGGCGAAGGCGGUUCUCUGGGAAUGACCUGACGCUGAGGAGCGAAAGUGUGGGGAGCGAACAGGAUUAGAUACCCUGGUAGUCCACACCGUAAACGUUGGGCGCUAGGUGUGGGGUCCAUUCCACGGAUUCCGUGCCGCAGCUAACGCAUUAAGCGCCCCGCCUGGGGA
rnacentral:rRNA from 1 species